rnacentral:rRNA from 1 species
UGCGUAGGCGGAUUAAUAAGUCAGUGGUGAGAACCUGCAGCUUAACUGUAGAAUUGCCAUUGAUACUGUUAGUCUUGAGUACGGUCAAGGUAGGCGGAAUGUGUAAUGUAGCGGUGAAAUGCUUAGAUAUUACACAGAACACCGAUUGCGAAGGCAGCUUACUGGGCCAUUACUGACGCUGAGGCACGAAAGCGUGGGGAGCGAACAGGAUUAGAUACCCUGGUAGUCC